rnacentral:rRNA from 1 species
UACGGGGGGGGCAAGCGUUGUUCGGAAUUACUGGGCGUAAAGGGCUCGUAGGCGGCCAACUAAGUCGGAUGUGAAAUCCCCAGGCUUAACCUGGGAACUGCAUCCGAUACUGGAUGGCUUGAAUUCGGGAGAGGGAUGCAGAAUUCCAGGUGUAGCGGUGAAAUGCGUAGAGAUCGGGAAGAACAUCAGUGGCGAAGGCGGCCUGCUGGGCUGUUGCUGACGCUGAGGCGCGGACAGCGUGGGGAGCAAACAGGG